GACGAACGCUGGCGGCGUGCCUAAACAUGCAAGUCGAACGGUGUAGCAAUACACAGUGGCGAACGGCGGAGUAAUACAUAAGCAACGUGCCCUGAAGACUGGGAUAGUCAGAGGAAACUCUGGGUAAUGCCGGAUGUGGCCAUCACGAGGCAUCUCGAGAUGAUUAAAUGGUUUUCCGCUUCAGGAGCGGCUUAUGGCCUAUCAGGUAGUUGGUGAGGUAACGGCUCACCAAGGCGACGAUCAGUAGCUGGUCUGAGAGGAUGAUCAGCCACAUUGGGACUGAGACACGGCCCAAACUCCUACGGGAGGCAGCAGUGGGGAAUAUUGGACAAUGGGCGAAAGCCUGAUCCAGCCAUGCCGCGUGAGUGAUGAAGGCCCUAGGGUUGUAAAGCUCUUUUGUGCGGGAAGAUAAUGACGGUACCGCAAGAAUAAGCCCGGCUAACUUCGUGCCAGCCGCCGCAGUAAG
rnacentral:rRNA from 1 species